UACGGAGGGUGCAAGCGUUAUCCGGAAUGAUUGGGCGUAAAGCGUCCGCGGGUGGCUAUGUAAGUCUGCUGUUAAAGAGUGAGGCUCAACCUCAUAAGAGCAGUGGAAACUACAUAGCUAGAGUGCGUUCGGGGCAGAGGGAAUUCCUGGUGUAGCGGUGAAAUGCGUAGAUAUCAGGAAGAACACCGGUGGCGAAAGCGCUCUGCUAGGCCGCAACUGACACUGAGGGACGAAAGCUAGGGGAGCGAAUGGG
rnacentral:rRNA from 1 species